rnacentral:hammerhead_ribozyme from 1 species
AUCUAAUUGACGAGUCCUAAAUAGGAUGAAAUGUGUGUCAAACUGGAU